GACCUCAUAUCACGUCAGACUACGCGCUGAAUUUAAGCAUAUUAAUA
rnacentral:rRNA from 1 species